rnacentral:rRNA from 1 species
UGGGGAAUAUUGCACAAUGGGCGCAAGCCUGAUGCAGCCAUGCCGCGUGUGUGAAGAAGGCCUUCGGGUUGUAAAGCACUUUCAGCGAGGAGGAAGGUGGUGAACUUAAUACGUUCAUCAAUUGACGUUACUCGCAGAAGAAGCACCGGCUAACUCCGUGCCAGCAGCCGCGGUAAUACGGAGGGUGCAAGCGUUAAUCGGAAUUACUGGGCGUAAAGCGCACGCAGGCGGUUUGUUAAGUCAGAUGUGAAAUCCCCGGGCUCAACCUGGGAACUGCAUUUGAAACUGGCAAGCUAGAGUCUCGUAGAGGGGGGCUAGAAUUCCAGGUGUAGCGGUGAAAUGCGUAGAGAUCUGGAGGAAUACCGGUGGCGAAGGCGGCCCCCUGGACGAAGACUGACGCUCAGGUGCGAAAGCGUGGGGCAGCAAACAGGAUUAGAUACCCUGGUAGUCCACGCUGUAAACGAUGUCGAUUUGGAGGUUGUGCCCUUGAGGCGUGGCUUCCGGAGCUAACGCGUUAAAUCGACCGCCUGGGGAGUACGGCCGCAAGGUUAAAAC